AAAGAGAUAUUGCAACUCCAACAUUUCUGCUUCCAAUUUCCACAGAAACUUCCUCCGUCUCUUCCUUAUCUCAUUCUUAAAUUCAUUCAUCAUCAUCUUCUUCUCUUAUCAUAUUACUAUUCCUCAGUUAUUUCUCUCAUUCUUUCAUCCCACAAUCUUUUCAUUUUUUCUCAUUAUAUAUUGUGAAAAACAUUUAACCCUUUUUAAUAAAUUUCUUAUUCUUUUACAGGUUGUAAAUUUUUUAAGCUUUGUUACGAUCUAUGUUGUCUUUUUCGUUGAUGAGGCGUUAUCGUUAGAUUUGGUAAUCAUGAUCUUAAGAAAAAAUCUUCCAGAUCUGGAGAAAAGUGCUUCUGGAUUGGGAAUUACUUUUG